AUCAUCGGCCUGCCUCACCCGCACUGUCCUUCCCGCAACGCCCUUACUCUCCCGUCCAGCUCGACAACGAAGCUCUCCUACCACUUCCCCUCUACGCGCGAUAACCGCCGCGCAGCUCCCCUAACCCUUCCUCUCCGCGAUUGCUGCCGUCGCCGCUGCCGGACGGCGCUAUCCGCCGCGCAGCUUCCCCACGCACCUCCCGUAUCCCACCCUUUCUGCGCGCUCUGCCGUCGCGGCCGCCGGACGCACGCCGGGCUGCCCCACGGUUCAGGUCAAUCCGCUCCUUCGUCGUGCUCAUCCACGCCCUCACGCCGCCGCACCGCCUCGAGGGCGCACCGGUGACCAAUCCGCGCCUGCACCGGAGCCUCGAACUCGUCGUCCGCGCGCUGCCGUCGGCGACAGCUGCCGUCCGCGCGAGUCUCGUCCUCGAGCGCCGCCCGUGACCGCUCCGCGACCGCUGUGAUCUCGGCCGGCUGCCGUCCGCACGAGCCCCGUCUCGACCGGCCGCCGUCCGUCCGCGCGCGCCGCUGUCCGUGCGAGCCCCAUCCUCAAGCGCCGAUCCGCUGCCGUCGUGGAUCUACAGACCAUCUCCUCCCACCCCCUGAUUCGCUGCCAUCGUGGUCUGGGAGGCCGAGCGGGCGGCAGUGGGUCUGCAGGCCAUCUCCUCCCACCCCCUGAUUCGCUGCCAUCAUGGUCUGGGAGGCCGAGCGGGCGGCAGCAGGAGCCCUGCAGGCGGCACGGACGGGCGACAGUAGAAGCCAGCAGGCCAAGCGCAUCCAGCACCCAGUCUGGCUCAUCGUCGCCAGCCACACCCUUUGGCCAGUUGAUUAGAGGUCCGCCGGCGCCGGGAGUUACUCUUCUGCUCAGGUUGCCAGAAAGAAAUUUACUCAAAUCAAGCAGAAAUUGGUUGUUCAACUCAUUGUUUUUGAUCCUCACUUCUCUCCCAGGUUGGUGACUAGCUCUUUGUCGUCUAUUAGAAAGAAAUCUCAGCAAGUUUCAUUUCUUGGACAUACUGGUCAAUAGAGUUGUAACUUUGUAUGUCAGGUGAAUUGCAACUUUGACCAUCACUGUUCUUUCUAAAAUUUCUGAUACUUAAAAUAGAAGUGAUUGACAGAUUAUAAAUUAAAUCCAGUGUGCAUCCCCACUGUAUAGACCAGGUUUUGACAAUAUCAGAUAUUAGAAGCCUUAAGUCUACUUUUCAUACUAUUUUUAUUGCAUAUUGUAAUUUUGAAAAAAAAUUAUUUGGUGCUUUUUAAUCAAGGUUCAGUUUGUUUUGUUUUA